ACAACAUUCGGACCGUCGGUUAACCAAGCAAUGACACUCGCUCUAUGGAAGAUCUUCCCUUUUUCUU
rnacentral:pre_miRNA from 1 species